AUUGAACGCUGGCGGCAGGCUUAACACAUGCAAGUCGAGCGGGUGAGGUUGCUUCGGUAACUGAGCUAGCGGCGAACGGGUGAGUAAAGCUUAGGAAUCUGCCUAUUAGUGGGGGACAACAUUCCGAAAGGGAUGCUAAUACCGCAUACGUCCUACGGGAGAAAGCAGGGGAUCACUUGUGACCUUGCGCUAAUAGAUGAGCCUAAGUCGGAUUAGCUAGUUGGUGGGGUAAAGGCCUACCAAGGCGACGAUCUGUAGCGGGUCUGAGAGGGUUAUCCGCCACACUGGGACUGAGACACGGCCCAGAGUCCUACGGGAGGCAGCAGUGGGGAAUAUUGGACAAUGGGGGGAACCCUGAUCCAGCCAUGCCGCGUGUGUGAAGAAGGCCUUUUGGUUGUAAAGCACUUUAAGCGAGGAGGAGGCUUACCUGGUUAAUACCUGGGAUAAGUGGACGUUACUCGCAGAAUAAGCACCGGCUAACUCUGUGCCAGCCGCCGCUGUAA
rnacentral:rRNA from 1 species